rnacentral:rRNA from 1 species
GACGAACGCUGGCGGCGUGCUUAACACAUGCAAGUCGAACGCUGAAGCUCAGCUUUUGUUGGGUGGAUGAGUGGCGAACGGGUGAGUAACACGUGAGUAACCUGCCUCCUUCUUUGGGAUAACGCCCGGAAACGGGUGCUAAUACUGGAUAUUCACUGGUCUUCGCAUGGGGGUUGGUGGAAAGGGUUUUUCUGGUGGGGGAUGGGCUCGCGGCCUAUCAGCUUGUUGGUGGAGUGAUGGCCUACCAAGGCUUUGACGGGUAGCCGGCCUGAGGGGGUGACCGGUCACAUUGGGACUGAGAUACGGCCCAGACUCCUACGGGAGGCAGCAGUGAGGAAUAUUGCACAAUGGGCGCAAGCCUGAUGCAGCGACGCCGCGUGAGGGAUGGAGGCCUUCGGGUUGUGAACCUCUUUCGCUCAUGGUCAAGCCGCAACAAUGGUUGUGGUGAGGGUAGUGGGUAAAGAAGCGCCGGCUAACUACGUG